AUUGAACGCUGGCGGCAGGCCUAACACAUGCAAGUCGAGCGGAGCGGCGGACGGGUGAGUAAUGCCUAGGAAUUUGCCUGGUAGUGGGGGACAACGUCCGGAAACGUGCGCUAAUAACGCAUACGCUCAGCUGAGCUUAGGUGGGAUUAGCUAGUUGGUGGGGUAAAGGCCUACCAAGGUGACGAUCCGUAACUGGUCUGAGAGGAUGAUCAGUCACCCUGGAACUGAGACACGGUCCAGACUCCUACGGGAGGCAGCAGUGGGGAAUAUUGGGCAAUGGGCGAAAGCCUGAUCCAGCCAUGCCGCGUGUGUGAAGAAGGUCUUCGGAUUGUAAAGCACUGUAAGUUGGGAGGCGUUACCAACAGAAUAAGCACCGGCUAACUUCGUGCCAGCAGCCGCGGUAAUAC
rnacentral:rRNA from 1 species